GAUGAACGCUGGCGGCGUGCCUAAUACAUGCAAGUCGAGCGAACAGACGAGGAGCUUGCUCCUCUGACGUUAGCGGCGGACGGGUGAGUAACACGUGGAUAACCUACCUAUAAGACUGGGAUAACUUCGGGAAACCGGAGCUAAUACCGGAUAACAUGUUGAACCGCAUGGUUCAACAGUGAAAGACGGUUUUGCUGUCACUUAUAGAUGGAUCCGCGUCGCAUUAGCUAGUUGGUAAGGUAACGGCUUACCAAGGCAACGAUGCGUAGCCGACCUGAGAGGGUGAUCGGCCACACUGGAACUGAGACACGGUCCAGACUCCUACGGGAGGCAGCAGUAGGGAAUCUUCCGCAAUGGGCGAAAGCCUGACGGAGCAACGCCGCGUGAGUGAAGAAGGUCUUCGGAUCGUAAAACUCUGUUAUUAGGGAAGAACAAAUGUGUAAGUAACUAUGCACGUCUUGACGGUACCUAAUUAGAAAGCCACGGCUAACUACGUG
rnacentral:rRNA from 1 species